rnacentral:rRNA from 1 species
AACGAACGCUGGCGGCAGGCCUAACACAUGCAAGUCGAUCGCUGUCUUCGGACAGAGAGGCGCACGGGUGAGUAACACGUGGGAACAUACCCUUAAGUGCGGAAUAACUAUUGGAAACGAUAGCUAAUGCCGCAUACGCCCUACGGGGGAAAGAUUUAUCGCUUAAGGAUUGGCCCGCGUCUGAUUAGCUAGUUGGCGGGGUAACGGCCCACCAAGGCGACGAUCAGUAGCUGGUUUGAGAGAAUGAUCAGCCACACUGGGACUGAGACACGGCCCAGACUCCUACGGGAGGCAGCAGUGGGGAAUAUUGGACAAUGGGCGCAAGCCUGAUCCAGCCAUGCCGCGUGAGUGAAGAAGGCCUUCGGGUUGUAAAGCUCUUUCAGACGUGAAGAUGAUGACGGUAGCGUCAGAAGAAGCCCCGGCUAACUUCGUGCCAGCCGCCGCAGUAACAC